GAUGAAGAACGUAGCGAAAUGCGAUAAGUAAUGUGAAUUGCAGAGUUCAGUGAAUCAUCGAAUCUUUGAACGCACAUUGCGCCCGUCAGUAUUCUGACGGGCAUGCCUGUCCGAGCGUCAUUACAACCCUCAAGCUCAGCUUGGUAUUGGGCCCCGCCGCUCCGGCGGGCCCUAAAGUCAGUGGCGGUGCCGUCCGGCUCCGAGCGUAGUAAUUCUUCUCGCUCUGGAGGUCCGGUCGUGUGCUCGCCAGCAACCCCCAAUUUUUUUCAGGUUGACCUCGGAUCAGGUAGGGAUACCCGCUGAACUUAAGCAUAUCAAUAAGCGGAGGA
rnacentral:misc_RNA from 1 species